GACGAACGCUGGCGGCGUGCUUAACACAUGCAAGUCGAACGAUGAAGCCGGAGCUUGCUCUGGUGAAUUAGUGGCGAACGGGUGAGUAACACGUGAGUAACCUGCCCUUGACUCUGGGAUAACUGCUAGAAAUGGUAGCUAAUACCGGAUACGACCCUCGGAGGCAUCUCCAGGGGGUGGAAAGAAUUUCGGUCAAGGAUGGACUCGCGGCCUAUCAGCCAGUUGGUGAGGUAACGGCUCACCAAGGCGACGACGGGUAGCCGGCCUGAGAGGGUGACCGGCCACACUGGGACUGAGACACGGCCCAGACUCCUACGGGAGGCAGCAGUGGGGAAUAUUGCACAAUGGGCGCAAGCCUGAUGCAGCGACGCCGCGUGAGGGAUGAAGGUCUUCGGAUUGUAAACCUCUUUCAGUAGGGACGAAGCGAAAGUGACGGUACCUAAAGAAGAAGCACCGGCUAACUACGUGCCAGCCGCCGCGGUAA
rnacentral:rRNA from 1 species